UUGAAAUGCUGGUUCUCAUCUGAUCACUGAAGUUAAGCAAUGUCAAGCCUGGUAAGUACCUAGAUGAGUGACCACUUGGGAAUACCAGAUGCUGUAAG